CAUGACCAGAAGCAUAAAGGAGAAUGAGCAGUCACCCCAGGUCAAGGGCCCAGCAUGAAGGUCAAGGCUCCUGUAGUUCAUCCAGGCAACACACUCAUCACCCUGACAGCAACAUGGGAAUGAAUUUGCUUGCUGUUGAGGGCCCAUCAUCCCAUCGGGACGAUAAGCUCCAUGAGAGUAAGGAUGGGGUCUGUGUGAUCCUUCUCUCCGUCACCAGGACUCAGCAGGGCUACUUGGGUGGCCAACGGAGGAGGUGAUGGGCCCACGGGCCUGCAGUGGUUUCCAGCUUCCCAGCCAGGCCGAGGCUCUGUCUACCCUGCCAGGCUGCUUCCCUUACUCUCAGAAGCCUCAUGAUGAAGAUAAGGCCUUGGUCCCUGGCACUCCGCCCACGAAAGGCCAAAUCAAGUCUAGGGGAAAAGGCUGACCUCAGUGCA